GGCAGACAAAGGGGGAGGCGGGGGCGUCGAGCGCAAACUCGCGGCUCAAUCACUUUUCUCGCUGGAAUCCUGUCCUCUCGCAACCCGAGCAUAGCAAACACCUGUCAAGUCAUAUUUCUUCACUUAGAAGAGGAUUUGCCCCUUUGGGGCCUUUUGAGCUGACUGACACUCUGGUGCUACAAGCAAGUCUACUCAGAGGUGGAUUAAACAUAUGCUGUCCUUCUGCAGAAGAUCUUGAGGAAAUUAAGCCUAUUUGUGAUGAGCUGUCCUGCGCUGCUCUGUCCUGUAGUGGGAUCUUGUAAAAUUAUCCUCAGCUUGGAACAUGGUGAUUUAAUCCUUAUCAUCAUGGGACAGUGGAGCAGCCUCCAUUUUAAUCUUUCACCAAAAAAAUAAUUUUUUUAAAAUGCACUUCUUAUUCUACUUUUCUCCCAUCAUGGAACUCAAGGUAGCAUACUCCGGGUUCCCAGGUGGCCACCUAUCCAGGCACAGAUUGGACCUAGAGCUGCUUAAUUUCAGCAAGGUGGCUGCAUCACGUGCCCUCAGACCAUGCACUGAAAUUUAAAUUGGGCCUAUUCAUCAUUAGUAGGCAUGAUUGAGCUCUCAUCACUAUGGAACUAUAGUAUGGAACUAGCAUCUUGUUCUUACGGAACAGAAUGAGGGAACUGCCUCCUUCUCUCACUCCUUGAUACAUUUCGGCAAAAAGGGGUGUAGCUGGCAUUCUUGAGAGGCAUUUCUAGAAUCCUUUGUGUAUUUGUUUUAGCAAGCAGAGCCUGAGACCUGGUGACACCACUGCUUAAACAAAACUUUGAGACUACAUCAUGAGCCUACAACAUGAUCACAUCAAACUGAGUGGUAAAGGUCAUUUGUAAUGACAAAUUAUGUUCCCCAAACCUCUGCAAAGAAUUUUAUCAUGUUCUAAACUAGUAUUUGAGCAACUCUACAAAUAAAAGAAGGAGGGGAAAGUUCAUAUCCCUAUAAAUAUAUCAUGAUGUUAAAAGGUUAUCUGAUAGUUCUUUUUUUCUUUGAGUGGAUAUUUCAUGUGAGCACAGAGGUGACUACAGUAUGAUAUUGCUUUAUUAAAACUAUGGUGCUUCAUUGCCUGUCAGGUUUGAAUUCACAGUGCAUUUUAGAGUCAAUUAAAAUACAUCUUCUGUUGAUGCACAAAUUAUAUACUCAUCAAGAUUGAUUAAACACCCCCAGAACACUGUC